ACAGAAGCAAGAGGUCUCACUCUGGCAAUAUUUCUUGGUACCACAAACGUCAUCCACACAGGCGUCCCAUCUCCGGUACCAUCUUGACGUAUUAUCGCCACCAACUGGACUGGAGUGUAUAUCAUUAGACUAAACUGACGAUGUCUGUGAGAUGUCUGCAGUUCCAACAUGGUUUAAAAUAAAUAACAGUUUGAGGCCCAAAGAGAUUCAUCUCAUGACCCUCACAAAGCAGUUCAAACUGGCUCCACCUCGACCAGCUAAAACAGUAAAAUGCUGCUUAUGCACUGACUCAUUGGUAUUAAUUAUGUACUUUGGUAAAUUUAUUUAACUUAUCAGUCACAGUCUGAUUUUCUGCAAAACAAGUACUUUUACUUU